rnacentral:rRNA from 1 species
UGGGGAAUAUUGGACAAUGGGCGAAAGCCUGAUCCAGCCAUGCCGCGUGUGUGAAGAAGGUCUUCGGAUUGUAAAGCACUUUAAGUUGGGAGGAAGGGCAGUAAGCGAAUACCUUGCUGUUUUGACGUUACCGACAGAAUAAGCACCGGCUAACUCUGUGCCAGCAGCCGCGGUAAUACAGAGGGUGCAAGCGUUAAUCGGAAUUACUGGGCGUAAAGCGCGCGUAGGUGGUUCGUUACGUUGAAUGUGAAAGCCCCGGGCUCAACCUGUGAACUGCAUCCAAAACUGCGAGCUAGAGUAGGGCAGAUGGUGGUGGAAUUUCCUGUGUAGCGGUGAAAUGCGUAGGUAUAGGAGGGAACACCAGUGGCGAAAGCGACCACCUGGGCUCAUACUGACACUGAGGUGCGAAAGCGUGGGGAGCAAACAGG